rfam:Stereum hirsutum FP-91666 SS1 unplaced genomic scaffold STEHIscaffold_4, whole genome shotgun sequence.
GCGUCAAUAGGGUAACGGUAACCCGCAUCCUUGCAUGUGUCUUGAGUAGGUGACAUACUUGUAGCACGACUAGCUGGGGGUUCGACUCCCUCUUGAUGCA